rnacentral:rRNA from 1 species
UGCGUAGGUGGUUUCUUAAGUCAGAGGUGAAAGGCUACGGCUCAACCGUAGUAAGCCUUUGAAACUGGGAAACUUGAGUGCAGGAGAGGAGAGUGGAAUUCCUAGUGUAGCGGUGAAAUGCGUAGAUAUCAGGAGGAACACCAGUGGCGAAGGCGGCUUGCUGGACGAUGACUGACGUUGAGGCUCGAAAGCGUGGGGAGCAAACA